CCUACGGGAGGCAGCAGUGAGGAAUAUUGGUCAAUGGACGAGAGUCUGAACCAGCGAAGUAGCGUGAAGGAUGAAUGCCCUAUGGGUUGUAAACUUCUUUUAUAUGGGAGUAAAAUGUUCCACGUGUGGGAUUUUGUAUGUACAAUAUGAAUAAGGAUCGGCUAACUCCGUGCAAGCAGCCGCGGUAAUACGGAGGAUCCGAGCGUUAUCCGGAUUUAUUGGGUGUAAAGGGUGCGUAGGUGGAUUGUUAAGUUAGUUGUGAAAGUUUGCGGCUAAACCGUAAAAUUUCAGUUGAAACUGGCAGUCUUGAGUACAGUAGAGGUGGGCGGAAUUCGUGGUGUAGCGGUGAAAUGCUUAGAUAUCACGAAGAACUCCGAUUGCGAAGGCGGUUCACUGGACUGCAACUGACACUGAGGCUCGAAAGUGUGGGUAUCAAACAGGAUUAGAUACCCCUGUAGUC
rnacentral:rRNA from 1 species